rnacentral:lncRNA from 12 species
AUGGCCCCGGUCAGCCUGUUAGAGCUGCUGGAUGACGCCAUCGGGACACCCGAGGUCAAUGUCAAUUUAGAGGCGCUCCGCAGACUGCUGCGGAUCAUGCUGGGCCACCUGAGCCGGCUGGGCCUGCAGGACGUGGUGCCGCAGGAGGAGGAAGGCGGGAGCGGCACCCAGGCUGGGCCACGGGGCUCAGGGCAGCCGCCCGGGAAGGUCCAGCUGCCGGGGACCAGGGGCGGCCCUCCUGUGGCUGCCCACAGGGGACGGAUGGAAAAGACUGAAGAGAGUGAAGACAAAGAGAGUGGCAUCUCCAAGGCCACGGCUCUCUCCCAGGAGAUGGCUGAGACUAAGGCCAUGCAGUCCAGCAUGGGAGAGGAAAUUCAGAGAAUCAAGAAGGCACUUGGCCAGACCACGGAUCUCUGCAAGGAUCUCCAUAAAGAGAUCAGUGAGAUGAAGGCCACACAGUCCCGCAUGGGAGAAGAUAUCCGGAUGAUCCAGGAAGCACUUAGCCAGGGGAACCUCCAGGAUGCUGCCAGCCAGCCACUGGUCCUCCACGACCAGCCCACCCCUGGGAUGCAGACAGGGACCCCCAGUGCACAGAGUGGCACCACUGGUUCCAAAAAAGGCCAUGGAGCUAUGGAGACAGCUAUGGAGAGCAUCAUCAGAGACCUGUCUGAGCUCCAGGGCCAGAUGUCCUCCCUGCAGAGCCUGACCAGAGACCUGCAGGGUGAGAAGGAGAAGAUCAGACAACUGGAGGAUGCCCUUGGAAAGCUGGAUAUGGCUGUAGCCAAGAGCGAAGUGGAUGGCACCAACCAGAUCCCCCUACAGCUGGAGUCUGCACUGCAGGAGAUUAAGGAGGAGCAGAAGGAGCUGAGAGAGGAGCAGAAGAUUACCAAGACCACACUGAAGCAGCUGGUCACAGCUGACCAGCUUCAGGAGAAGCUGAACGAGCUGAGGGCAGUGAUGGAGAGUACGGGGCAGCAGCAGAGAGAGUCAGAGCCAUCUGACCACAGCUCGAAUAACAAGCUUUUGAGGAAGCUCCUACACCGCUGUGAAAGGCUCCAGGAGCAGGUGGACUCUCUGGUGCCCCAACAGGUGCUGAAGUCAUUACCAGAGAAGACGCAGGAUGAGGAGUUGCUAAAGAGCAUCCAGGCCACCAUUGUGCGGGUGGAAGGGGACUGUGAGCAGCUCAGCUACGUCACGGGGAGCCUCCGAGAUGACCAUCACCAGCAUCAGAAAGAUAUUGAGGCUCUGUUCCGGUCCCUGGAGGGUCUUGAGAAGAAAGCAGACAAGGAGGACCUGCUGCUGCUGAAAGUGGACAAAGCUGCCCUGGGCAGCAAAGUUAGUUGUGUCCAUUUUGAUGCGAGCAUGGAGCGUCUGGAGGAGAGGAUACAGGACUUGCUGAGACGGGUGUUGGGCCAGGAGCAGCGCUGGCAAGAGGCCCAGCAGUGGUUCAGUGAUGCCCUGGACUCCAAGCUCGAUCGCCUAGAGCUUGGGCCUUUCCAGAAGCAACUGGAGGAUACCUGGGCAAGGAUCAUCAAGAAUCUCAAGGAUGAGUUGUCAGUAAAGAUUGAUGACGCUGCUGGAAUUAAGCAGCAGCUGGUGGUCCCUUAUAAGUGCCUGUCCUGCGACCGGCAUCUCAACAUGCAGGUGCCUGGCCCGCACAUUGACACACUGCCACUCUUGCCAUCGCUGGCCAGCGGCUACACUGCACACCCCUCUACCAUCAUCAUGGAGGAGCAAGCACAACAGCACAGUCAAAGGAAGCUGGUCAAUAGCAAGUUCCUCAAGUCACAGAGCAACAGGGGACAGGACACGUUCAGUGCACAGCUCAAGGAUGUCCUACACCUCUCCAAAAAGCCCGGCGUGACUGAGCUGCUGGGCACAGAUGACCGCAUGGAUCGGGGCAAGGACCACAGGCCUGAGGUGGCAAAGGGGGCACAGGAUAAGCUGGGCCACACCACCUUACUAAAGCACCAGCCAGCCUCAGGCCUCAAUCACUGAUCCUGGGUACUGCAGCAUUUGCUGCAAAUCCAGUCCCCUGCAGCCAGGCAGCUGGCUGGGACUGGAUGCUCAGAGCUUUGCAUGAAGAAAAGACUGGGACAGCUGCCCAAAGGGAUUUCUUUUCAGCUUAAUAAAAAAAAUUGUAACCUGCUGUGUU